GAUGAAGAACGUAGCGAAAUGCGAUAAGUAAUGUGAAUUGCAGAAUUCAGUGAAUCAUCGAAUCUUUGAACGCACCUUGCGCCCUUUGGCCAUUCCGAAGGGCAUGCCUGUUUGAGUAUCAUGAACACCUCAACUCUUUAUGGUUUUCCAUGAUGAGCUUGGACUUUGGGGGUUUUGCUGGCCUAUGGUCGGCUCCUCUAAAAUAAAUCAGCUUACCGGUGUUUGGUGGGUAUCAUGGGUGUGAUAACUAUCUACGCUUGUGGUUUUUCCACCAGGUAACCUUCGACAGCGGAGGUUCACUGGAGCUCAUAGAUGUCUCUCCUCAGCGAGGACAGCCCUUUGAAUGUUUGAUCUCGAAUCAGGUAGGACUACCCGCUGAACUUAAGCAUAUCAAUAAGCGGAGGA
rnacentral:misc_RNA from 1 species